GACUCAGGACCAGGUCAUCCCUUCACAGGAAUUACCUACAAAGGAAACUGGAAACUCCAUGGCAUCUCUCUGUCAUCCUUCCCACCAGAUGGUGCCUCCAAAUCCCUUCUGAAGGCGAUUGUGCAAACCAGCAUUAUCUAAGAUCUGUCUUUGCCAAACGGCUCAACAAGAAAUGUUCACAGCUCCAGCCAGUAGAAAUGAAUACCAGAGACAGAAAUCCUAUCACUGAAGCCAUGGAGGAAGACACACACUCCAGUCCUGACCAUUGAACUACUGUGGUUUAAUUAUGCAAAACUGGGGUUGAAGAUUCAAGAUAUUGCUCAGAUUGUUCUGCAAUCAACUCUUCUGAUUCAGCAGCAUCAGCAGGAAGGAGCCCAUGGAUGCCAAACCAACCCCACCUCUACAACCAGUUGGGCCAUCACAUGAAAGCAGGAUUGUUGCUUCUUGAUCACUCAGAUCUGUUGUCCAGGUCGAAGCAGGAGGUGAUGCUACAUGGAAAGACAAGCCAAAGAGACCUUGCUCAGGUAAAUCAAACCUGAAAGUAGUGGUAAG